rnacentral:tRNA from 1 species
UAUAGUUCAGUGGUAAAAUGCUUGCCUAGUAUGCAUAAGGCCAUGGGUUAAAUCCCAUUA